rnacentral:rRNA from 1 species
GACGAACGCUGGCGGCGUGCUUAACACAUGCAAGUCGAACGGAAAGGCCCUGCUUUUGUGGGGUGCUCGAGUGGCGAACGGGUGAGUAACACGUGAGUAACCUGCCCUUGACUUUGGGAUAACUUCAGGAAACUGGGGCUAAUCCCGGAUAGGAGCUCCUGCUGCAUGGGGGGGGUUGGAAAGUUUCGGCGGUUGGGGAUGGACUCGCGGCUUAUCAGCUUGUUGGUGGGGUAGUGGCUUACCAAGGCUUUGACGGGUAGCCGGCCUGAGAGGGUGACCGGCCACAUUGGGACUGAGAUACGGCCCAGACUCCUACGGGAGGCAGCAGUGGGGAAUAUUGCACAAUGGGCGGAAGCCUGAUGCAGCAACGCCGCGUGCGGGAUGACGGCCUUCGGGUUGUAAACCGCUUUCGCCUGUGACGAAGCGUGAGUGACGGUAAUGGGUAAAGAAGCACCGGCUAACUACGUG